ensembl:rRNA 5S_rRNA 5S ribosomal RNA
GGUGACAAGUUAAUUUUCUUGACUGGAUCACAUGAUGCAGAACUAAUAAUUUAAUUUUAUAAGCAGGGUCAGGCCUGGUUAGUACUUGGAUGGGAGACUACCUAGGAAGACCUGGUGCUGUAGACG